GACGAACGCUGGCGGGCGUGCUUAACACAUGCAAGUCGAGCGGUAAGGCCCUUUCGGGGGUACACGAGCGGCGAACGGGUGAGUAACACGUGGGUGACCUGCCCUCAGCUCUGGGAUAAGCCGUGGGAAACCGGGUCUAAUACUGGAUAUGACUCCAUGACGCAUGUUGUGGGUGAAAGCCUUGUGCGGCUGAGGAUGGGCCCGCGGCCUAUCAGCUUGUUGGUGGGGUGAGGCCUACCAAGGCGACGACGGGUAGCCGGCC
rnacentral:rRNA from 1 species